rnacentral:rRNA from 1 species
CCUACGGGAGGCAGCAGUGGGGAAUUUUGGACAAUGGGCGCAAGCCUGAUCCAGCAAUGCCGCGUGCAGGAAGAAGGCCUUCGGGUUGUAAACUGCUUUUGUCAGGGAAGAAAUCUUCUGGGCUAAUACCCCGGGAGGAUGACGGUACCUGAAGAAUAAGCACCGGCUAACUACGUGCCAGCAGCCGCGGUAAU